rnacentral:rRNA from 1 species
UACGUAGGGUGCAAGCGUUGUCCGGAAUUAUUGGGCGUAAAGAGCUCGUAGGCGGUUUGUCGCGUCUGCUGUGAAAAUCCAGGGCUUAACCCUGGACCUGCAGUGGGGUACGGGCAGACUAGAGUGCGGUAGGGGAGAUCGGAAUUCCUGGUGUAGCGGUGAAAUGCGCAGAUAUCAGGAGGAACACCGGUGGCGAAGGCGGAUCUCUGGGCCGUAACUGACGCUGAGGAGCGAAAGCAUGGGGAGCGAACAG